AGGGGGCCAUUGUUGUGGCGAGAGUAGGACGAGUGCGUGAGCGCGUCCUGGAGUAACGUGGAGUCAUUGAACUUGUAGCUGGAGAAACCAAGAUGAGAGGGUGUCUGAUGUCUCCUUGAGCUUGACGGAGAUCGCCUGAGAACACUACGCUUGAGAAAUAGGAAGGUGGUGAAAGUAAAACGAACAUACCUGGACGAGUAGCAGUGGCGCGAAUACGAACCAAACGGUUCUCAUUGUAGAAUGCAAGAACCCUAGUUACUUCUGCGAGCUUGAAAAGGUCUUCAUCUUCUUUCUGGAGUCGAAAGUUCAUGAUCUUCGACGACUACAGUGAGUGUAAAUGUUGUAAACCAAAUGCAUCAACUUUACCAUGAUCUAAGAUUGAAAGAA